AAAUAUUCAACAGAAGCGUGUCAAUUACAUGUAAGAAAGUGUCAGGAACAGUUGUAUGUAUUAUGUGUGUAAUUUUAGGGACUAAAUUUACCUGAAAGCAGUAAAAACAGUGAGAGACGGAAUUUUUUUGCCGCCCCGUUUCCAUGGAAACUCCCUCCACUCCAGUUUAAAUGCGUGCCUCGAAUGUUCAACGCGCGCGCCCAUCAAACACGUCAAAGUUAUGCAGCGUUUACAUAAAUAGUACCGGUACAUAAAAUUAGAAACUUGAUGACAUAUUGUUUAAGUGGAUAGUAUACCUAAAUUGAAUGAGAAUAUAGGAUCUAUAAUAUAAUUAUAGCUUUAAUGGUAAACGUUUUUUAUACAAUAAUUAGGAACCGACCUAGCAGUUUUAUUGCGCAGCAGCUCUCUCACUCACAGCGACCUCACUCAGAAAGAUGGUCAUGAUUAAACAAUCAUGAUCAAAGCAAAUAAGGUUAAAUAACCAAUAGGAAUUGUUUCAGCGUGGUAAGGCAGCGCAAUGUGUUUAGUUUUAUUGUUGUUGAUAAUAGUUAUACCAGAAGGUUUCAUGAUAAAAAUGUAAAAAUGUUACACAUUUUUAUUUGUGAAAGCAGUAUUUAUAAAUUGACUUUUAAAAAUCUUUAUACAGUAAUCAUGAAGGAAGACUUGUCACGGUGAUUCAUUGGUCAUAAGUUAUUGUGGGAAUGUGGUUGUUGAAUAUAGGGGAGAAAUUAUAUUUAUUUGAAGCAGAACGCAAAAGGGACAUCUAUCAGAAUACGGUCUCUGUCUUUACUUGGCAAAACAAGCAGUGCUGCAGAAACUGCUCCGUGAAGACGACUGUGGUCCAGGAAAUCCUGCCUUUGGCAGCGAGGGACAUUAUUCCUGAAGAAGAAACAACACACGACUGCGGAGCAAGUGACCGGCUUUAGAGAGAGGUUUGACACACUUUGACUGCUUUCGUCAUUUUCACAGAUCCAGAUUCUUUAAGACUGUGAUCACUUUUUGAAGGGUAGAGGGAACUAGUGUUGGGCGAUAUGCUCAAUUUUCAUAUCGUCCUAUCGUCAGCCUGUGAGAUCGCCGGUACACGAUAUUAUCCUGCUAAUUUAUUUAACUAUUUAUUUACUUGGUUUCAUUGCCGGAAAGUGAACCAACUCCAGCGUAAGGCUAAAAGCAGCCUAAUGUUUUUAAUAUGACUGAAUCUGUAUUUAACAUGAUAACAAAUUAAUAGAAACAUCAUAAGUUACUAAUUAUAAUGCUUACAUUUCCUCAGUUAUUCAAAAAGCAGCUAACUUACAGAAAACGAGCAAAGAACAUUACAUUACCAAAGAACAUCAUCACAAGCUCGGCCUAGCGCGAGUUAAUGCACUUUAAAAACACUCCCGUUAUAAUCGGUGAAUCUACACCGUAUGAUGAAUAAAUCUCUUAUACACACAUCUGCACUUUGUUGUUUAUGAGAGAACUCGUGAGUCAGAAUUCAGUCGGUGCGCUGAACAACAGAACGCCUCUGAUUGGACAUUGCAUUCAUAAACUCAGCAUAAUCCUGUGAUUGGUUAUAAUAAUGUGCAACACUGUAAAAACACGGAAAAAGAAAUAUAAUGCAACAAAUAAGCCCUAAUAUUAAUUAGUAUGACUAGCCUGAUAAUAAUAAUAAUAAUAAUAAUAAUCGUCUUGUCUUGCUAUCGUCAAAGGCAUCAUCCACAGGCGAUAUCUCUGACUAUCGUCGAUACAUGAUACAACCGUCUAUCAGCACAACCCUAGAGGAAACGGGACCCAAAGAUCCUGUACUUGUACUUAUCGUGCUGUCACACUAUG